GAUGAACGCUGGCGGCGUGCUUAACACAUGCAAGUCGAACGAGAAGUGAAGACGGAAACCUUCGGGCGGAAGGCUUUAUUUCGAGUGGCGGACGGGUGAGUAACGCGUGGGUAACCUGCCUCAUACAGGGGGAUAACAGUUGGAAACGACUGUUAAUACCGCAUAAGACCACAGCACCGCAUGGUGCGGGGGUAAAAACUCCGGUGGUAUGAGAUGGACCCGCGUUCGAUUAGCCAGUUGGCGGGGUAACGGCCCACCAAAGCGACGAUCGAUAGCCGAUCUGAGAGGAUGACCGGCCACAUUGGGACUGAGACACGGCCCAAACUCCUACGGGAGGCAGCAGUGGGGAAUAUUGCACAAUGGGGGAAACCCUGGUGCAGCGACGCCGCGUGAGUGAAGAAGUAUUUCGGUAUGUAAAGCUCUAUCAGCAGGGAAGAAAAUGACGGUACCUGAGGAAGAAGCCCCGGCUAACUACGUG
rnacentral:rRNA from 1 species